GAUGAACGCUGGCGGCGUGCCUAAUACAUGCAAGUCGAGCGAACAGAUGAGGAGCUUGCUCCUCUGACGUUAGCGGCGGACGGGUGAGUAACACGUGGAUAACCUACCUAUAAGACUGGGAUAACUUCGGGAAACCGGAGCUAAUACCGGAUAAUAUAUUGAACCGCAUGGUUCAAUAGUGAAAGACGGUUUUGCUGUCACUUAUAGAUGGAUCCGCGCCGCAUUAGCUAGUUGGUAAGGUAACGGCUUACCAAGGCAACGAUGCGUAGCCGACCUGAGAGGGUGAUCGGCCACACUGGAACUGAGACACGGUCCAGACUCCUACGGGAGGCAGCAGUAGGGAACCUUCCGCAAUGGGCGAAAGCCUGACGGAGCAACGCCGCGUGAGUGAUGAAGGUCUUCGGAUCGUAAAACUCUGUUAUUAGGGAAGAACAAAUGUGUAAGUAACUAUGCACCUCUUGACGGUACCUAAUCAGAAAGCCACGGCUAACUACGUG
rnacentral:rRNA from 1 species